AUGAACGCUGGCGGCGUGCUUAACACAUGCAAGUCGAACGGAAAGGCCACAGCUUGCUGUGGUACUCGAGUGGCGAACGGGUGAGUAACACGUGGGUGAUCUGCCCUGUACUUCGGGAUAAGCUUGGGAAACUGGGUCUAAUACCGGAUAGGAAUCACAUGUGGGUGUGUGGUUGGAAAGCUUUUGCGGUAUGGGAUGAGCUCGCGGCCUAUCAGCUUGUUGGUGGGGUAAUGGCCUACCAAGGCGUCGACGGGUAGCCGGCCUGAGAGGGUGUACGGCCACAUUGGGACUGAGAUACGGCCCAGACUCCUACGGGAGGCAGCAGUGGGGAAUAUUGCACAAUGGGCGCAAGCCUGAUGCAGCGACGCCGCGUGGGGGAUGACGGCCUUCGGGUUGUAAACUCCUUUCGUCAGGGACGAAGCGAAAGUGACGGUACCUGGAUAAGAAGCACCGGCUAACUACGUG
rnacentral:rRNA from 1 species